rnacentral:rRNA from 1 species
GAAUCCCGUCUUUGGCACGGAAACCCCAGGGCUUUUGUGAUGCGCUCUCGAAGAGUCGAGUUGUUUGGGAAUGCAGCUCAAAAUGGGUGGUGAACUCCAUCUAAAGCUAAAUAUUGGCGAGAGACCGAUAGCGAACAAGUACCGUGAGGGAAAGAUGAAAAGCACUUUGGAAAGAGAGUGAAACAGUACGUGAAAUUGUUGAAAGGGAAACGCUUGAAGUCAGUCGCGUCGACCGAGACUCAGCCUUGCCUUGGCUUGGUGUACUUCUCGGCCUGACGGGUCAGCAUCAAUUUUGCCCUUUGGAUAAUGGCAGGGGAAAGGUGGCACCUUUACGGGUGUGUUAUAGUCUCUUGUCGCAUGCGAGGGGUGGGAUUGAGGAACUCAGCGCGCACCUCAGUGUCGGGGCUUCGGCCCACGUCACGCGCUUAGGAUGCUGGCGUAAUGGCUUUAAACGACCCGUCUUGAAACACGGACCAAGGAGUCCAACACGCCCGCGAGUGUUCGGGUGGAAAACCCGUGCGCGUAAUGAAAGUGAAAGUUGGGACCUCUGUCGUGGAGGGCACCGACGCCCGGACCAGACCUUCUGUGACGGAUCUGCGGUAGAGCGUGUGUGUUGGGACCCGAAAGAUGGUGAACUAUGCCUGAAUAGGGUGAAGCCAGAGGAAACUCUGGUGGAGGCUCGUAGCGAUUCUGACGUGCAAAUCGAUCGUCAAAUUUGGGUAUAGGGGCGAAAGACUAAUCGAACCAUCUAGUAGCUGGU